AACGAACGCUGGCGGCAUGCCUAACACAUGCAAGUUGAACGAGACCUUCGGGUCUAGUGGCGCACGGGUGCGUAACGCGUGGGAAUCUGCCCUUCGGUUCGGAAUAACUCAGGGAAACUAGAGCUAAUACCGGAUGAUGUCUUCGGACCAAAGAUUUAUCGCCGAGGGAUGAGCCCGCGUAGGAUUAGGUAGUUGGUGGGGUAUUGGCCCACAAAGCCGACGAUCCUUAGCUGGUCUGAGAGGAUGAUCAGCCACACUGGGACUGAGACACGGCCCAGACUCCUACGGGAGGCAGCAGUGGGGAAUAUUGGACAAUGGGCGAAAGCCUGAUCCAGCAAUGCCGCGUGAGUGAUGAAGGCCUUAGGGUUGUAAAGCUCUUUUACCAGGGAUGAUAAUGACAGUACCUGGAGAAUAAGCUCCGGCUAACUCCGUGCCAGCCGCCGCAGUAA
rnacentral:rRNA from 1 species